rnacentral:rRNA from 1 species
AAUAGAUACCCGGUAGUCCUAGCCGUAAACGAUACUCGCUGGGUGUCGGCCACGGUGCGACCGUUGUCGGUGCCGUAGGGAAGCCGUGAAGCGAGCCACCUGGGAAGUACGGCCGCAAGGCUGAAACUUAAAGGAAUUGGCGGGGGAGCACCACAACGGGUGGAGCUUGCGGUUUAAUUGGAUUCAACGCCGGAAAUCUUACCGGGACCGACAGCAAUAUGAAGGCCAGGCUGAAGACUUUGCCGGAUUAGCUGAGAGGUGGUGCAUGGCCGUCGUCAGUUCGUACUGUGAAGCAUCCUGUUAAGUCAGGCAACGAGCGAGACCCACGCCCACAGUUGCCAACGUACUCUCUGGAGUGACGGGUACACUGUGGGGACCGCCGCUGCUAAAGCGGAGGAAGGAAUGGGCAACGGUAGGUCAGUAUGCCCCGAAUAUCCCGGGCUACACGCGAGCUACAAUGGUUGGUACAAUGGGUAUCUACCCCGAAAGGGGACGGGAAUCUCCUAAAACCAAUCUUAGUUCGGAUUGAGGGCUGCAACUCGCCCUCAUGAAG